UCCUCUCACCCAUCCCUUCCUCCCCCCGACAAGCCGCACCUCCAUCGACCUACUAACCUCAUCCCACCUCCUUGACCUGUCCGUCUUCCCUGGACUGACCUUUUCUCUCCUCUCCACCUUCGGUCCGCCUCCCCCUCUCUCCCUAUUUAUUCCAGUUCCCUCUCCCCGUCCCCCUCUCUGAUGAAGGGUCUAGGCCCGAAACGUCAGCUUUUGUGCUCCUGAGAUGCUGCUUGGCCUGCUGUGCUCAUCCAGCCUCACGUUUUAUUAUUUUAGGAGAGAGAGCUGUUUUGGUUUGUGAUACAAGAGACGAGGCUGUCUAUGCCUUUCACCCAUCGGUAGCUCUCCUCCUGUCCCUGCCUCUAUGCACACACUCUGCCAGGCAUAGUCUUCCUCUGUGUGUGUGUGUGUGUGUGUGUGUCUCUCUCUCGCUUCAGCUCCUAAAACCUAAGAUGCAUCGGAUAUAAAAACACGCACAUAAACACACACACACACACACAUCAACAAGCCAUGGAGAAAGAUCAGGAAUUACUGCAAGCUGUCAAAACCGAAGAUGUAGCUGCAAUGCAGAAGCUGUUGCAAAGGCCGAAACAAGGCAAAGCGAGACACAAUCAUCGCCUUGGAAGCUUCAUCACGAUACUACUUUGCAUUUCUGAAGAGGGAAGAAGAAAUCAACAUGAAAAUUCAAUUCCAUGGUUUUGGAAGUCCCAUUGAGAACACGAUUCAUUUGCGCCGGCAUAAUGCUCUGACCGAGAAAGAAUUGAAGUAGCACGCUGAGUAUUGUUAUCCCGAUAGUUCUUUCGUAUCAGUCCGUGUGUAUUCCUGGGCGAUUGUGCUCGUGUGGUCUCAGGAGUUGCGGAGGUCACGGCUCUGGGACAGCCGUUUCAUCGCUCUAUGCUGCAGGAAAAAAGCAAUGAAAGUGCCGUUAAUGUUUUGCACGGCGAGCUGCUGCACACUAACCGGUCUCACACCAUUACCAUCACCUUGCCCUUGUGAAGGCAGAUAUGGAUAAGGUUCUCAAAGCUGAUAGAAGAUUGAAACCACUCUAAUCCUGUGACAAUGAACCUACCCCGGAAGAGAGAGCCCAGAGAAUUGCCAAAGCUGUCCGCAAACAGUCAACAGAAGUGAAGGAAAAUUGGGAGCAAUUGAAAACCCGUGCGAGCAACUGGCAGAAACAGGUGGAAAAGGCGUUGGAGAAACUUCAAGAACCGCAGAAAGCGCUGGAUGAUCUUGAGGCUCAUGUGAUAACAGCUGAGGGGGUCCACACUGAUUGGCAACCUGUGGGUGACCUGCUUAUUGACUCAUUGCAGGGUCACAUUGAUAAAACCACAGGUAAGGACUAUCUGCAAAAUCUGAGAUUGGGUUUUGAAAGACAGCAGCCUUUGUUUUGGAGAGAUAAUGGGAACUGCAGAUGCUGGAGAACGCGAGAUAACACCGUGUGGAACUGGAUGAAGACAGCAGGCCAAGCAGCAUCUCAGGAGCACAAAAGCUGACGUUUCGGGCCGAGAACCUUCUUCAGAAAAUGGGGAGGGGGUGCGGGUUCUGGAAUAAAUAGGGAGAGAGGGGGAGGCGGAUGGAAGAUGGAUGGAGGAGAAGAUAGGUGGAGAGGAGAGUAUGGGUAGGGAGGCAGGGAGGGGAUAGGUCAGUCUGGGGAGGCCGGACAGGUCAAGGGAGCGGGAUGAGGGGAAAUAGGGGUGCGGCAUGAGGUGGGAGGGGGGAUGGGUGAGAGGAAGAAUAGGUUAGGGAGGCAGGGACGAGCUGGGCUGGUUUUGGGAUGCAGUGGGAGGACAGGAGAUUUGGAAGCUUGUGAAAUCCACACUGAUAGCAUUGGGCUGCAGGGUUCCCAAGCAGAAUAUGAGUUGCUGUUCCUGCAACCUUCGGGUGGCGUCAUUAUGGCACUGCAGGAGGUCCAGGUUGGACAUGUCCUCUCAGGAAUGGGAGGGGGAGUUGAAAUGGUUCGUGACUGGGAGGUGCAGUUGUUUAUUGCAAACUGAGCGUAGGUGUUCUGAAAAGUGGUCCCCAAGCCUCUGCAUCGUUUCCCCAAUGUGGAGGAAGCCACAACGGGGACAGCGGAUGUUUUGGAUAUUUCUUCAGCAUUGAUUUUCAUUCAGAGUUGGUUGGAUUUUGCUGAAGCAAUAGACAUAACUCACUGUGACAUAGACAAUGUCAGAGUUAAUGUUUCGCGUCCUGUGACCCUUCCUCAGAUCUCACUCUUCACUGAUGCUGCCAGACCUGCUGAGCUUUUCCAGCAACUUCUGCUUUUGUUGCUGAUUUACAGUGCCCACAGUUAGAACAUAGAACAUAGAACAGUACAGCACAGAAAAGGCCCAUCAGCCCACAAUGUUGUGCCGACCAUUGAUCCUCAUGUAUGCACCCUCAAAUUUCUGUGACCAUAUACAUGUCCAGCAGUCUCUUAAAUGACCCCAAUGACCUUGCUUCCACAACUGCUGCCGGCAACGCAUUCCAUGCUCUCACAACUCUCUGCGUAAAGAACCUGCCUCUGACAUCCCCUCUAUACUUUCCACCAACCAGCUUAAAACUAUGACCCCUCGUGCUAGCCAUUUCUGCCCUGGGAAAUAGUCUCUGGCUAUCAACUCUAUCUAUGCCUCUCAUUAUCUUGUAUAUCUCAAUUAGGUCCCCUCUCCUCCUCCUUUUCUCCAAUGAAAAGAGACCGAGCUCAGUCAACCUCUCUUCAUAAGAUAAGCCCUCCAGUCCAGGCAGCAUCCUGGUAAACCACCUCUGAACCCUCUCCAAAGCAUCCACAUCUUUCCUAUAAUAGGGCGCCCAGAACUGGACGCAGUAUUCCAAGUGCGGUCUAACCAAAGUUUUAUAUAGCUGCAACAAGAUCUCACGACUCUUCAACUCAAUCCCCCUGUUAGUGAAAGACAAAACACCAUAUGCUUUCUUAACAACCCUGUCCACUUGGGGGGCCAUUUUAAGGGAUCUAUGUAUCUGCACACCAAGAUCCCUCUGUUCCCCCACGCUGCCAAGAAUCCUAUCCUUAAUCCUGUACUCAGCUUUCAAAUUCGACCUUCCAAAAUGCAUCACCUCGCAUUUAUCAAGGUUGAACUCCAUCUGCCACCUCUCAGCCCAUCUCUGCAUCCUGUCAAUGUCCCGCUGCAGCCUACAGCAGCCCUCUACACUGUCAACGACACCUCCGACCUUUGUGUCGUCUGCAAACUUGCUGACCCAUCCUUCAAUUCCCUCGUCCAAGUCAUUAAUAAAAAUUACAAACAGUAGAGGCCCAAGGACAGAGCCCUGUGGAACUCCACUCACCACUGACUUCCAGGCAGAAUCUUUUCCUUCUACUACCACUCGCUGUCUUCUGUUGGCCAGCCAAUUCUGUAUCCAAGCAGCUAAGUUCCCCUGUAUCCCAUUCCUCCUGACCUUCUGAAUGAGCCUACCAUGGGGAACCUUAUCAAAUGCCUUACUGAAGUCCAUAUACACCACAUCCACAGCUCGACCCUCAUCAACUUUUCUAGUCACAUCCUCAAAACCUCGAUAAGGUUUGUAAGGCAUGACCUACCCCUCACAAAGCCGUGUUGACUGUAUUUGAUCAAGCCAUGCUCUUCCAGAUGGUCAUAAAUCUUAUCCCUCAGAAUCCUUUCUAACAACUUGCAGACGACAGACGUGAGACUUACCGGUCUAUAAU